rnacentral:rRNA from 1 species
GACGAACGCUGGCGGCGUGCUUAACACAUGCAAGUCGAACGCUGAAGCUCAGCUUUUGUUGGGUGGAUGAGUGGCGAACGGGUGAGUAACACGUGAGUAACCUGCCCCCUUCUUUGGGAUAACGCCCGGAAACGGGUGCUAAUACUGGAUAUUCACUGGUCUUCGCAUGGGGGUUGGUGGAAAGGGUUUUUCUGGUGGGGGAUGGGCUCGCGGCCUAUCAGCUUGUUGGUGGGGUGAUGGCCUACCAAGGCUUUGACGGGUAGCCGGCCUGAGAGGGUGACCGGUCACAUUGGGACUGAGAUACGGCCCAGACUCCUACGGGAGGAAGCAGUGGGGAAUAUUGCACAAUGGGCGCAAGCCUGAUGCAGCGACGCCGCGUGAGGGAUGGAGGCCUUCGGGUUGUGAACCUCUUUCGCUCAUGGUCAAGCCGCAACAAUGGUUGUGGUGAGGGUAGUGGGUAAAGAAGCGCCGGAUAACUACGUG